rnacentral:lncRNA from 1 species
GUAAAACUUGCCAUUUUUAUCUCGCAAACAACACAGAAAAUUACAUGCAAUAUUGAUUAAUUCCACUUUUCUAUAUACAUCACUCUAUCUGGGAUUUAGAUAGAAAGCAACCUACAGCCAGUUCAGCACCAGAUAGGCAUGCCCAACAUAAUUGGUAUACAAGAAUGAAGUAAGAGAAGCAGAAUUUCUAGAGAUAGGACUCACAUCAGCAUGCCACCAAUUGAUAGGCACACAGCUCCAGAGUGCGAUAAGGACGGACUUGCAGCAGCAACUUGGAGGAACAUCGACACUGCCUAAAGGCUUCAGAUAUUAUAGACUGAUUUUACAUUUAAACAACUCAGGAGAAGUUACUAUUAACUUCUAUUACCAUUUCAGAGGUAGUUAUAUUAAUAUCUAUUUAAGAAAUCUAUU